UAGGGAAUCUUCCGCAAUGGACGCAAGUCUGAAGGAGCAACGCCGCGUGAGUGAAGAAGGAUUUCGGUUCGUAAAACUCUGUUGUUAGAGAAGAACAGCGCAUAGAGUAACUGUUAUGCGUGUGACGGUAUCUAACCAGAAAGCCACGGCUAACUACGUGCCAGCAGCCGCGGUAAUACGUAGGUGGCAAGCGUUGUCCGGAUUUAUUGGGCGUAAAGCGAGCGCAGGCGGUCAAUUAAGUCUGAUGUGAAAGCCCCCGGCUCAACCGGGGAGGGUCAUUGGAAACUGGUUGACUUGAGUGCAGAGGAGGGGGGUGGAAUUCCAUGUGUAGCGGUGAAAUGCGUAGAUAUAUGGAGGAACACCAGUGGCGAAGGCGACUCUCUGGUCUGUAACUGACGCGGAGGGUCGAAAGCGUGGGUAGCAACCAGG
rnacentral:rRNA from 1 species